CCCACAUGAAGUUGGAGUUGCUAGUAAUCGCGGAUCAGCAUGUCGCGGUGAAUACGUUCCCGGGCCUUGUACACACCGCCCGUCACACCAUGGGAGUUGGGAGCGCCCGAAGCCGGUGAGGUAACCGAGAGGAGCCAGCCGUCGAAGGUGAGACCAAUGACUGGGGUGAAGUCGUAACAAGGUACC
rnacentral:rRNA from 1 species